UAGCCAAUGCAAGAGCUAUUGGAAAUGAUAUGGACGAAAUUCAGAAUGGUUUACAUACACAUAGUGAUAGUGCUGCUGAGAUACCUGUAUACUCAUCUAUUGACAAAAGACACAAUCUUCGUUUACAUCAAACUGCUGCGUACACUGUUGAUCAAAAGUGCAUAACAAAUCCUCUUAAAUUUGGCCAUCAAACAGGUAAGGAUGUCAACAGAGUGAGCAAGUUUGCAUCCAUGAAAUGUCCGUCAGAAAUAGAACGGGGAGAAAAGGAAUCAAGGGAACUAAACUACGUUGAAAUUCUCUUUGAUCAGAAACCAGUUUAUCCGUUUACAAUUCAUGGACUUGACGACAAAACUAAUUAUGUUGAAAUAGAUUUCACGCAAAGUGCUGACCCUCUACCCGACAGUGACACAGACAGUGAAAGCGAGAAGUAAUAACAAUAUCUUGGAAUUAUGUCAGAAAACUGCUUUUAGAAAAUCGAAAGACAUUGAAGGAUGCUUUAUAAGAGCGGUUAAUUAAAAUUAUUUUCACAAUAAUGUCAUUUUUAAGCAAAAAAUGAAUAGAAUAAUAUGUGCUGUCAAUAUUAACGUUUAAUUGUGUCAAAAUCUUCUGUUUUAUCAUUGUUAUGUACAGGGGUGUAUUAUGAUAGCCAAUUAGACAUCUUUCUUCCACAGAUCAAAGGGACCACUCGGUCUUCAACUAUGAACAAAACCUGUACUACCACAUUGUAUCUAUAAAAAUCGCAUAAACGUAAAAAUGUGAAAUCAAAAUUUUUAACUGCUUGCUUUAUGCUUAAAAAAAAAAUUGGAGAUCUCAUCAAAAACAAGAAUACUAGAGUACUAAGCAUUGACAAGCACAUAAAUAAUGUUACGGAAUAAGACAUGUGAACAAGCGCUUAACAUACUUAUUACUAGUUACAGUGACGUAACAACAUAAAACAACUAACAAAAUGACUAAAGACAAAGAGUGCACAAAGUUAAUCUAAACAAGAUCAAUGCUAAUUUUAACUGAUAAAAGCACCGUUUCCUUUCGCAUGGUGGUGGAAUAAAAAAAAAACCUGCAAUCAAACCAUAUAUGCCUAAAGGAAAAUGACAUUAAACAUAAAAAAAAAUGGAAUUAUUAAGAUUUAAUAACAAAAUUAUGCAGAAAGAAAUGUUACCAUAUUAUAGUUACAUAUCAUUGUUGUGAUUACUGGAUAUCUAAAUUUUUUUUCAUAUAUAUAGUGAACUGGGAAAACGACUAUUUAUUAUGUGUAUAGUUAAAAGAAGUCCUUGACACUUUAUUAUUAUUGAUUCUACUGAAACUAUGAAUUUGUAUUAAUUAAAUUGCAAUUGUGUACUAUAUUGUAAAUUCGGAAAAAUGUAACUGAAUGUAAACAACUCACGCAUACCUUUAUCUUAUGUUUUUAAUGGGUCCUGUCAUUUCAGCAUUUUACCACACUGAAAUUAAAUAAUUGUCGCACUCAAAAACAUUUCUUGUCUAAUUUCAAUAUCAUGAUAUCUAUUCAAAAAUUCAUAUUGUACAAUUGUACAGUGUUUAUUACAUUUUCUAAUAUUCAAAUGAGUACUAGUACUAGACAUUAUUUGAUAUUGUAUUGUAGUUGAGUCGUAGGAUGAUUUAUUCAGCUUAUAAUUACCUCAAAUACUUUUUUAUGAUAUUUUCGAAUGAAUUCACUUCUACAUGGCACUACAUAUCAUAAACUAUAGUGUCCUUAAAAGUUGAUAAAUAACAUAUAGGGACUUCAUUAAAGCUGUAUGCAAAGGUUUCAUAAUUUUUAUGUUUCUUUUUAAUUUUUUCCGGUGUUUAAGGAAGUAAUUGAAAAUUGAUAGUGGUGUUCAAUUUUUUUCUCUUUUUGGAAGUAUGUUGUAUAUUCAAUACAAACAUCAGUACAAACGUUCAGUACUGGUUCAUUGACCUUGAAAAGUAUAAGGUUUCAGACCGUUCAAUGUUUUUGACCUAACCAUAGUUACGAACGGCAAUGUGGUGGUAUAUAGUCCGUUUUCUAAUCAAAACAUUGACUUAUUACAGACAUAAAAAUCUUGUAUUGACUUUGAAAAUGAUUGACAGGUUUUAAUUGUUGAUUUGUUUCUGAUUGCCGUGCACUAACAAAACGGAAUUAAGACUAGAUUGCCUAUGGUGUACAUGUAAUUCAUAAAAAAAUAUCGUACAUUUUCUAAGGUCUUUAAAGGAUCUGAAAGUAUCACCGACCCUCUUAUACAUUUACGACUAUGAUAAAUAUAUGUAUGUGUUUAAAUAAAACAUUGUCUUAAAUGCUGUGCUACCCGUAGCUUAAACACAUGGCUGUCAUCUUAAUACUUAUUGAUUAUCUUUUAAAGAAUUUCCAGUUAUAAUGAUAAUGCGUGUAAAACUGCUACCAAAUGCAAGGUAAACAGUCAAUUUAUAUGUACCCGAUUUUUAAAUGUCAACAAAAAACUAUCUCUGCGCUGUCCAUUUAGUUGCAUUUUUUUCUGAUUCUUUCAAAGGGGUUUUUCAAUUCAAAAAAUAGUUUGAAUAAUGACAGAACUGCACAAGCAUUGACAAAAAAAAAAUGAUAUCAUAUUCAGAUUUUAUCAUGUUAAUAUUUGAAUAGGUAUUCAGUAAACUACUCAUUUACGUUAUUUUUACAAGGUUGCCUUACUAUUGUACAAAACACUACAGUAACUAAAUUAAGAAC